rnacentral:rRNA from 1 species
GACGAACGCUGGCGGCGUGCUUAGCACAUGCAAGUCGAACGCGCCUGUCCUCUGGGUUUCUGGGGGGUGGGUGAGUGGCGAACGGGUGAGUAACACGUGAGUAACCUGCCCCCUUCUUCGGGAUAACGGUCUGAAAGGGCUGCUAAUACCGGGUAUUCACUGGUCUCCGCAUGGGGUCUGGUGGAAAGGUUUUUUUCUGGUGGGGGAUGGGCUCGCGGCCUAUCAGCUUGUUGGUGGGGUGAUGGCCCACCAAGGCUUUGACGGGUAGCCGGCCUGAGAGGGUGACCGGUCACAUUGGGACUGAGAUACGGCCCAGACUCCUACGGGAGGCAGCAGUGGGGAAUAUUGCACAAUGGGCGCAAGCCUGAUGCAGCGACGCCGCGUGAGGGAUGGAGGCCUUCGGGUUGUGAACCUCUUUCGCCCGUGGUCAAGCCGCGACGUGGGUCGUGGUGAGGGUAGUGGGUAAAGAAGCGCCGGCUAACUACGUG